rnacentral:rRNA from 1 species
AUUGAACGCUGGCGGCAGGCCUAACACAUGCAAGUCGAACGAGUGGCGGACGGGUGAGUAAUGUCUGGGAAACUGCCUGAUGGAGGGGGAUAACUACUGGAAACGGUAGCUAAUACCGCAUACCAUCGGAUGUGCCCAGAUGGGAUUAGCUUGUUGGGGGGGUAACGGCUCACCAAGGCGACGAUCCCUAGCUGGUCUGAGAGGAUGAUCUGCCACACGGGGACUGAGACACGGCCCAGACUCCUACGGGAGGCAGCAGUGGGGAAUUUUGGACAAUGGGCGCAAGCCUGAUCCAGCCAUGCCGCGUGUCUGAAGAAGGCCUUCGGGUUAUAAAGGACUUUUGUUAGGGAAGCGGUACCUAAAGAAUAAGCACCGGCUAACUACGUGCCAGCAGCCGCGGUAAUAC